CGGCAUGUCUUUACACAUGCAAGUACGGAACGGUAACGAGGUUCGUUCGGAUGCUGACGAGGUGGACGGAACGGGUGAGUAAUGUAGUACGGAACGUCGCCCAGUAGGUGGGGGAAUAACUACUCGAAAGAGUGGCUAAUACCGCAUGAGAACUGAGGUUAGAAAGGCGGGGGACCUUCGGGCCUCGCGCUACUGGAGCGGCCGAUGUCAGAUUAGCUAGUUGGUGGGGUAAAGGCUCACCAAGGCGACGAUCUGUAGCGGGUCUGAGAGGAUGAUCCGCCACACUGGGACUGAGACACGGCCCAGACUCCUACGGGAGGCAGCAGUGGGGAAUUUUGGACAAUGGGCGCAAGCCUGAUCCAGCCAUGCCGCGUGCGGGACGAAGGCCUUCGGGUUGUAAACCGCUUUCAGCCGGAAAGAAAUCGCUGUUUUUAAUACAGACAGUGGAUGACGGUACCGGAAGAAGAAGCACCGGCUAACUACGUG
rnacentral:rRNA from 1 species